CUUCCACCACGUCCUGGGGACAGAAGCAACUGCAGGGACACAGGAAACAGGAACUCACCUUCCUGAAGCUCUGAGACCCUCGUGACUCCACCACCCUGAGCACCCUACGCAACUGGCGGACACGAGACACCGCAGAAACUAUCUGGUGGUCCAGAGACAGACCUAGAACACAAGGAGAGACAAUGGGAAUGAAUUUGACCACU